UAAGAGGGAAAACCCAUUAUUCUCACUUUAAUCUCUUUUGUUGAAACUAUUUAAGAAGCAGUAGAAGAAUUUAUAUCUAAUCACAACAGUUUUGCAAAUUAUAAACACUCAUACAUAUAUCAUCUGACAGUUUUGAAAUUCUUGCAUUGCUGUUUUUUUAAAAAUCGCAACAGUAAUAAAUGCAGUGCAGUCCAAAUUAAUUGUUCCAGUCCAUUUCAAUAGGAACACAAACUGCAUUUUCCCCAGCAAAGAGCAAGCAUCGAUCAGGAAGAACAAUAGUUUUUUAACAGUCGUUCAUGCAGAAUGUCCAGAUUCAACCUUACUAUUCCCUGAUAAUAAAUUCUACCUAAGACUUUGAAGAGUCCUGCUACCCUCCAGGCAGAAAAAUAGUGAGGUAGCUAAUCACCUGAUCAAAGAAGAAAAAUUCAGCAUAUUCUUACACAAAAUCAGCCUUCUCUGACCUGAUCCUCUCUGCAUUCCACACCUCAAAAAUUCUCAGCAAUGGCCAUGCUGACUGAAAUUUUAGGGUAGCCAUUCUAUAACAACAGGUGCAAAAGCUAAGAAAGAAUGAACUAAGGAAGUCUGAUGCCAGCUAUGGACAGAUCAUAACAGUGUUUCUCAACCUUGGCAACUUUAAGAUGUGCGGACUUCAAUUCCUAUUAAAACAGUAUUGAAUGGAGUACACUAUCAUCUUUGAACCAGUCGUCUCACAGCCCACCUCUGUUCAUAGUGAGAAGGGAGAGAUAGCUUCGCAAAUGAAGAUUCCCUAAGAUGGGCUCCAGCAUGAGUCCGAAAGCACAGACGACAACACCUCUGGUCCUGGUGACCGACCCAGAUUGGAUCCUGCAGAAGAUAGUUUUCAUGUAUGCUACUUGAAUUCCUUAUUUAAAAAGACAGAACUAAAUGUGUGUACAAAAGGGGAAACCCCGUGGUUAAUAGGCAUGAAAGUCUUGUUGAGACAUGGUGCAUGAAUGAGUAACCAUCUCUUAUCUAUAAGCCAAAGCAAACAAAAUUUCAGAAUUCUCAGAGAUUAAAGUUCUCUAUUGAAUAAAUAUGGACUCUUCCCCAGUUCAGUUAGAGUUGGGAAAGAACUGGCUAAGAGAUUGUUGAUUACUUCUCAAUUUCCAAAGAAUGAUAUUAUGCUCAAAUGGCAUUUGAAAGUCUCAGGAAGAAGAAAUGGGUUCUGCUGUUUUUUAAAAAAUAAUGUGGCAACUAUUUAGCAAAGAGGAACGUAUUUUACUUCCUUAAAAGAAUUCCAGCUAACACAGUAGAGAUGCCACAAACACAGUUUAAUUAUUUUUGAUGUUAUUCAUGUCUGACUUAGGUGACCUUUCCAUGAUACUUUCAAAAUCUGUGCCAUUUUUUAAUGUGACUGUGUUCAGCAUCUUAACAGUUCAGGAAAAGUUCAAUCCAUUCCAUUCUGUGCCAGCUUUCUACCUGCAGUUUUUGUUUUUAUAGAGCAGUGUUUCGUAACUUUAGGAGACCACUUUACGAUGUGUGGACUUCCAAUUCCCAGAAUUCAAUUCCCAGCAAAGUUCACUGGGAAAUUCUGGGAAUUGAUGUCCAUACAUCUUAAAGUCACCAACGUUGAGAAACACUGAUGUAGAGGAAUUUUCUAAAAUGUCAGCAUCUUCCAGUAGUCCAAAUCAUUUCCAUCUGUUCAAGAGUUUUAGAACUACAACUGCGUUCAAAUGAACAUGAGUCAUGAAAAGAGAAAUCAAAAUGUGGCAAUGUCAAAUCUACUACCGCCCUCUCUCCUCCUAUUUUGAUACCCUCUCCUGCCUUAUUCAAGCAGCUCACUUCAUUAUUCAGCUGCCCCCAGUUACAUUCCACUUGUAUUUUCUGACCAUGUGAACAUGCCAGAUGCAAAUUCUAGUGUAGGCAUGUAUGAUAACCUCCCACAGCUUAUCAGUAUGAAGCCUGUGAACAGAGGUCCGCAUACUCAGGACUCCCUGUGUAUUUUCCAAGGAAAUAAAGGAAUUGGAAAAGAA